rnacentral:rRNA from 1 species
CUACGGGUCGCAGCAGUGAGGAAUAUUGCACAAUGGGGGGAACCCUGAUGCAGCAACGCCGCGUGGAGGAUGACGCAUUUCGGUGUGUAAACUCCCUUUAUAUGUCAAGAAAAUGACGGUAGCAUAUGAAUAAGCACCGGCUAACUCCGUGCCAGCAGCCGCGGUAAUACGGAGGGUGCAAGCGUUACUCGGAAUCACUGGGCGUAAAGGACGCGUAGGCGGGUUGGAAAGUCAGGUGUGAAAUCCUACAGCUUAACUGUAGAACUGCACUUGAAACUUCUAAUCUAGAGUAUGGGAGGGGGAGAUGGUAUUAGUGGUGUAGGGGUAAAAUCCGUAGAUAUCACUAGGAAUACCUAAAGCGAAGGCGAUCUCCUGGAACAUUACUGACGCUAAGGCGUGAAAGCGUGGGGAGCAAACAGGAUUAGAUACCCUCGUAGUC